rnacentral:misc_RNA from 1 species
ACACCUCAACUCUUCAUGGUUUUCCAUGAUGAGCUUGGACUUUGGGGGUCUUGCUGGCCUGCGGUCGGCUCCUCUCAAAUGAAUCAGCUUGCCAGUGUUUGGUGGGCAUCACAGGUGUGAUAACUAUCUACGCUUGUGGUUUUCCACCAGGUAACCUUCAGCAGUGGAGGUUCGCUGGAGCUCACAGACGUCUCUCCUCAGUGAGGACAGCCCUUUGAAU